rnacentral:rRNA from 1 species
AUUGAACGCUGGCGGCAGGCCUAAUACAUGCAAGUCGAACGAGUGGCGGACGGGUGUCCAAUGUCUGGGAAACUGCCUGAUGGAUGGGGUUAACUACUGGAACCGGUAGCUAAAACCGCACACCAUCGGAUGUGCCCAGGUGGGAUAAGCUAGUAGGUGGGGUAAAGGUUCACCUAGGCGACGAUCACUAGCUGGUCUGAGAGGAUGACCAGCCACACUGGAACUGAGACACGGUCCAGACUCCUACGGGAGGCAGCAGUAGGGAAUAUUGCACAAUGGGCGAAAGCCUGAUGCAGCCAUGCCGCGUGUAUGAAGAAGGCCUUCGGGUUGUAAAGUACUUUCAGCGGGGAGGCGUUACCCGCAGAAGAAGCACCGGCUAACUCCGUGCCAGCCGCCGCGGUAAUUC